AUUGAACGCUGGCGGCAUGCUUUACACAUGCAAGUCGAACGGCAGCGCGGGCUUCGGCCUGGCGGCGAGUGGCGAACGGGUGAGAAAUGCAUCGGAACGUGCCCAGUAGUGGGGGAUAGCCCGGCGAAAGCCGGAUUAAUACCGCAUACAACCUGAGGGUGAAAGCGGGGGACCGAAAGGCCUCGCGCCAUUGGAGCGGCCGAUGUCGGAUUAGCUAGUUGGUGGGGUAAAGGCUUACCAAGGCGACGAUCCGUAGCUGGUCUGAGAGGACGACCAGCCACACUGGGACUGAGACACGGCCCAGACUCCUACGGGAGGCCGCAGUGGGGAAUUUUGGACAAUGGGGGCAAGCCUGAUCCAGCCAUGCCGCGUGCGGGAAGAAGGCCUUAGGGUGGGAAACCGCUUUUGUUCGGGAAGAAGUCCUCUGGGCUAAUACCCCGGGAGGAUGACGGUACCGGAAGAAUAAGCACCGGCUAACUACGUG
rnacentral:rRNA from 1 species